GCCGGGCAUGGUGGCGGGCGCCUGUAAUCCCAGCUACUUGGGAGGCUGAGGCAUGAGAAUUGUUUGAACCCAGGAGGCAGAGGCUGCAGUGAGCCGAGAUCGCGCCACUGCACUCCAGCCUGGGUGACACAGCAAGACUCUGUCUCAA
ensembl:misc_RNA Metazoa_SRP Metazoan signal recognition particle RNA